GUCUAUGGCAAUGCCACCCCGAACAAGCCCGAUCCCGUCUGAUCUCAGAAGCUAAGCAGGGUCGGGCCUAGUUAGUGCUUGGAUAGGAGAGCACCUAAGAAGACCACGUGCUGUAGAUG
rnacentral:rRNA from 1 species